GUCAUGCUUUAAUCAGUUAAUUAAAUGACAUCUCUUAAUAGUUUCAGAUCAUCAAUGUCUGAUACUGUAUAGACAGUGCAGCAAGUUUGCAUAAGUCAAGCAUUCAGUGUUAGUUCACUGACCUUUUUUACUGAAUUGAAUGUUAGUCCAUUUUCUUAUUUCAUUCCUUUCAACAUGAUAUCUCUUCUUUAUAUCUCAAGGCUACUCCAGACUACAUCUGCGUCAUUACGAGUCUGGGAACAUGUGUUACAUUUGCUGCUGUUUAAUCCUUUUCAUAUGGCCUGAUGGAGUCACAAAUCCAAUGAUCAUAACUUAACUACCUCCUGAAUAUGUUGAGAGCAGCUUUUACCAGGUGGAAUGAAAAUCAGAUCUUCCCAGCCUGAAUUCUUCUCACUAAUCUCCAUUUUUCUCAGAACAUCCUCUAAACUUCCCACCAUAAUAUGUUGAGCAAGACCCAGCGCUCUUGAUGCCCUAGAAACCUUUGACAGUUCUUUUUCUAUAUCUUCCUUUUGGAAAUAUAUUGGGCAGUAACGCUUGUUUUUCUUCUUCACAACCAGAAGGUCUGACUGAAAAACAGGAACUCCAUCAAAACCGGUCUUGAUGUCAGCAGCUUUUAGCUCUAAUGCAUUCUUUAUUUGAACUGGAUCAGGC
rnacentral:misc_RNA from 1 species